AGAGCGUGCGGGUGCCAGGCAGUGUGAUUUGAAAUGAUCAUCAGUGUACCUACUGAUCGAAAAGCUCAAGAGAAAAAUAUCACUCAAAGUAACAAUUAUGCUGGAAGAGGAACCGGGAGAUUUGAGAGCUGCUGGAUGCUAACACUGCUUCAUGGCAGCAUAUUUGAAUAAAGACCCACCAUUAAAAGGAGAUUUGGAGAAGGGAGCAUUAGGAAACAAGCAAUUCUGAACUCUAACGGUGUCCACUGAGCAAAACUUCUGAAACGG